rnacentral:rRNA from 1 species
AACUUUAUAUUUAUUUGUUGGAACAAGGAUUAGAUACCCCACUAUGCUUAGCCCUAAACUCAGAUAUUCAACACAACAAGAAUAUUCGCCGGAGAACUACUGGCAACUGCCUAAAACUCAAAGGACUUGGCGGUGCUUUAAACCCCUGGAGAGGAGCCUGUUCUAUAAUCGAUAACCCCCGAUCCACCUCACCACUCCUAGCAGAAAUCAGCCUAUAUACCGCCAUCUUCAGCAAACCCUUACAAGGUCACACAGUAAGCACAAUCAUUCUGCAUAAAAACGUUAGGUCAAGGUGUAGCUUAUGGAGUGGGAAGAAAUGGGUUACAUUUCCUGGUCACAGGACAGUUAAAACGAUAGUCAUUAUGAAACUAAAGACCUUAAGGCGGAUUUAGCUAGUAAAUUAAGAAUAGAGAGCUAACUGACUAGCAUGAUGU